AACGAACGCUGGCGGCAUGCCUAACACAUGCAAGUCGAACGAGACCUUCGGGUCUUGUGGCGCACGGGUGCGUAACGCGUGGGAACCUGCCCUUAGGUUCGGAAUAACUCCCCGACAGGGGUGCUAAUACCGGAUCAUGUCUUCGGACCAAAGAUUUAUUGACCUUGGUUGGGCCCGCGUUGGAUUAGCUAGUUGGUAGGGUAAAAGGCUACCAAGGCGACGAUUCAUAGCUGGUCAGAGAGGAUGAUCAGCCACACUGGGACUGAGAAGCGGCCCAGACUCCUACGGGAUGGAGCAGAGGGGGACAUUGGAAAAUGGGGGGAAGCCUGAUCCAGCAAUGCCCGGAAAGUUAUGAAAGCCUUGGGGUUGUAAAGUGUUUUUAACCGGGAAGAUAAUGACAGUACCGGGUGAAAAAGCCCCGGCUAACUCCGUG
rnacentral:rRNA from 1 species